ACAUCUCUAACUUGUUUAUUUUGUCACUCUAUUCAUCUGUGUUUCCUCUUAUUUUCAAUUUUAUUCUUGCAUCACCAAUGAUUAUGAUAGGGUUUUUCGUAUUGUUUUGAUGAGAUUGAGAUGUUUGUUAGGAUUAUGAGGAUCUCACAAUAAUAAAGUUGGUGCUAAUGUAACACUAGAAAAAUGAUUGGGUUGGUUUCCUUUAAUACAUACGGUCUCAUUUUCAUUGUCUUGUAAUUAUUCUAUUUUCUUUUUUUCUUUUUCAUUUUCUUGUAAUUAUUCUUUUUUCUUUUUUUCUUUUUCAUUUUCUACUUAUAAUUAGUAUUUUAGCAUAUUUUUUAAUCUAUAUAACUUAUGUUAAUCGUUUAAUUAUCAGAAUAUAGAAGAUGACAUUUUAUGUUCUUUAGGAUAUAAGUAUAUAUUUAAUUAAUUUUGAUGUUCAAUACAUAUCUUUCUAAACUAGUUAAUGUCAAGGUUUGUUACUCAAUAAAUGUUUGAUUGAUUUAUAUAAUUGAGGAUUUACUUAAUAUAAUUAUUUAGCUUACAAUAUUUAAUAGAAAUCUCUGGUUCAUAAUCACUUUAUGAUUGUAUAAACAAAAUACAAAGGGUAAAAAAAUACGUACUGCUGAAAAAUUGUCAUAUUUUCCUUUUUUUUCUAUCUUUUAUGAGUAAUUUUCUUUCUUAUCUAUCAAAUGUGCGGAACAAUUGAUUUCUGAUAUAGGUUAAUCUUUUGAAGGUUACACAUCUCUAACUUGUUUAUUUUGUUACUCUAUUCAUCUGUGUUUCCUCUUAUUUUUAAUUUUAUUCUUGCAUCACCAAUGAUUAUGAUAGGGUUUUUCGUAUUGUUUUGAUGAGAUUGAGAUGUUUUUUAGGAUUAUGAGGAUCUCACAAUAAGAAAGGUGGUACUAAUGUAACACUACAAAAAUGAUUGGGUUUGUUUCCUUUAAUACAUACGGUCUCAUUUUCAUUGUCUUGUAAUUAUUCUUUUUUCUAUUUUUCUUUUUCAUUUUCUUGUAAUCAUUCUGUUUUCUUUUUUUCUUUUUCAUUUUCUAAUUAUAAUAAUUAGUAUUUUUGCAUAUUUUUUAAUCUAUAUAACUUAUGUUAAUCGUUUAAUUAUUAGAAUAUAGAAGAUGACAUUUUGUUCUUUAGGAUAUAAGUAUAUAAUUAAUUAAUUUUGAUGUUCAAUACAUAUCUUUCUAAACUAAUUAAUGUCAAGGUUUGUUACUCAUUACAUGUUUGAUUAUUUAUAUAAUUGAGGAUUUACUUAAUAUAAAUAUUUAGCUUACAAUAUUUAAUAGAUAUCUCUGGUUCAUAAUCAUAUUAUGAUUGUAUAAACAAAAAUACGUACUGCUGAAAAAUUGUCAUGUUUUCCUUUUUUUUUUUCUAUCUUUUAUGAGUAAUUUUCUUUCUUAUCUAUCAAAUGUGCGGAACAAUUGAUUUCUGAUAUAGGUUAAUCUUUUGAAGGUUACACAUCUCUAACUUGUUUAUUUUGUCACUCUAUUCAUCUGUGUUUCCUCUUAUUUUCAAUUUUAUUCUUGCAUCACCAAUGAUUAUGAUAGGGUUUUUCGUAUUGUUUUGAUGAGAUUGAGAUGUUUGUUAGGAUUAUGAGGAUCUCACAAUAAUAAAGGUGGUGCUAAUGUAACACUAGAAAAAUGAUUGGGUUGGUUUCCUUUAAUACAUACGGUCUCAUUUUCAUUGUCUUGUAAUUAUUCUAUUUUCUUUUUUUCUUUUUCAUUUUCUUGUAAUUAUUCUUUUUUCUUUUUUUCUUUUUCAUUUUCUACUUAUAAUUAGUAUUUUAGCAUAUUUUUUAAUCUAUAUAACUUAUGUUAAUCGUUUAAUUAUCAGAAUAUAGAAGAUGACAUUUUAUGUUCUUU
rnacentral:lncRNA from 1 species